CCUACGGGAGGCAGCAGUGGGGAAUUUUGGACAAUGGGCGCAAGCCUGAUCCAGCCAUGCCGCGUGCAGGAUGAAGGCCUUCGGGUUGUAAACUGCUUUUGUACGGAACGAAAAGGUUUGGCCUAAUAAGCUGAGCUCAUGACGGUACCGUAAGAAUAAGCACCGGCUAACUACGUGCCAGCAGCCGCGGUAAUACGUAGGGUGCGAGCGUUAAUCGGAAUUACUGGGCGUAAAGCGUGCGCAGGCGGUUAUGUAAGACAGAUGUGAAAUCCCCGGGCUCAACCUGGGAACUGCAUUAGUGACUGCAUAGCUGGAGUACGGCAGAGGGGGAUGGAAUUCCGCGUGUAGCAGUGAAAUGCGUAGAUAUGCGGAGGAACACCGAUGGCGAAGGCAAUCCCCUGGGCCUGUACUGACGCUCAUGCACGAAAGCGUGGGGAGCAAACAGGAUUAGAUGCCCUGGUAGUCCACGCCCUAAACGAUGUCAACUGGUUGUUGGGUCUUCACUGACUCAGUAACGAAGCUAACGCGUGAAGUUGACCGCCUGGGGAGUACGGCCGCGAAGGUUGAAACUCAAAGGAAUUGACGG
rnacentral:rRNA from 1 species